CUUUUUCAGAUAAUAAUUACUGUGGCUGAAGGAUAUAAUUGUGUGAUUAAUUCUCCAUACUCCUUAAUUAGAGAUGUUGUGAAGGUUCUUAACAUGUUGACAGCUGGGCACUCUCUCUUCACAAGACAUCAGAUUUAAAAUCCCCAUUCUGACACUGGACAUGACUGCCACUGUAUAUCCUGCCUGAUUCCUGCACUACCAAACAGAUGCCUUACUUUUGCAAGGAUUUUACUGCCAGUCUGAAGAAG
rnacentral:lncRNA from 1 species